rnacentral:rRNA from 1 species
AUCGAACGCUGGCGGCAGGCCUAACACAUGCAAGUCGAACGGGUGGCGGACGGGUGAGUAAGGGCUGGGAAACUGCCCGACGGAGGGGGAUAACUACUGGAAACGGUAGCUAAUACUGCAUACAAUCGGAUGGGGCCAGAUGGGAGUAGCUAGUCGGUGGGGUAACGGCUCACCGAGGCGACGAUCCUUAGCUGGUCUGAGAGGGUGAGCAGCCACACUGGACCUGAGACACGGUCCAGACUCCUACGGGAGGCAGCAGUGGGGAAUAUUGCGCAAUGGGCGCAAGCCUGAUGCAGCCAUGCCGCGUGUAUGAAGAAGGCUUUCGGAUUGUAAAGUUCUUUCAGCGAGGAAGCGUUACUCGCAGAAGAAGCACCGGCUAACUCCGUGCCAGCAGCCGCGGUAAUUC